ACGAGUGGUGCAUAAAUGUUUUAUUGCUAUUUAUCCUUUCAUGAGCUGGAUGUGCCAUUGAUGGCGAUGGCGAGCUUGGAUUAGUUGGAUUCAGAAGGUUGAGAUGAUGGAUGGUUCCAAGGUUUGGCCACAAUAUUUGGAGACAUUUCCUGUUAGGAGUUAAGGGACAUCCCGACACAUGAUGCUCCAUCAACAACUUCAGAAUAUGAUGCUGAUCCUCAACCUGCAACUUUGUAGCCACACUGCCUUUUGUUUUAUGUAGAAAAUUAACAGAUUUUGUUAUGUGUUUCAGCAUGAGCUAAUAAUUAGAAAUAACAGAUUUUGUUAGUUAUGAGAUUGGUCCUUCAAUAUGGCAUAGAAAACAUAUUUUUGAGUACUCCUGCUGUUUUGCUGCUUGCAAAGUAGUUUGAUGGUUUUUUAAACAAUUCUAAGCACGUAUUUAUUGAUUUUGUAUCCGUUGGGAUGCAC